AUUGAACGCUGGCGGCAUGCCUUACACAUGCAAGUCGAACGGCAGCACGGGAGCAAUCCUGGUGGCGAGUGGCGAACGGGUGAGUAAUAUAUCGGAACGUGCCCAGUCGUGGGGGAUAACGCAGCGAAAGCUGUGCUAAUACCGCAUACGAUCUACGGAUGAAAGCGGGGGAUCGCAAGACCUCGCGCGAUUGGAGCGGCCGAUAACAGAUUAGCUAGUUGGUGGGGUAAAGGCCCAACAAGGCGACGAUCUGUAGCUGGUCUGAGAGGACGACCAGCCACACUGGAACUGAGACACGGUCCAGACUCCUACGGGAGGCAGCAGUGGGGAAUUUUGGACAAUGGGCGCAAGCCUGAUCCAGCAAUGCCGCGUGCAGGAAGAAGGCCUUCGGGUUGUAAACUGCUUUUGUACGGAACGAAACGGCUCUGGUUAAUACCUGGGGCUAAUGACGGUACCGUAAGAAUAAGCACCGGCUAACUACGUGCCAGCCGCCGCAGUAA
rnacentral:rRNA from 1 species